AUUGAACGCUGGCGGCAUGCCUUACACAUGCAAGUCGAACGGCAGCACGGGGCAACCUGGUGGCGAGUGGCGAACGGGUGAGUAAUGCAUCGGAACGUACCUUUCAGUGGGGGAUAACGUAGCGAAAGUUACGCUAAUACCGCAUAUUCUGUGAGCAGGAAAGCAGGGGAUCGCAAGACCUUGCGCUGAUUGAGCGGCCGAUGUCAGAUUAGCUAGUUGGCGAGGUAAAGGCUCACCAAGGCGACGAUCUGUAGCGGGUCUGAGAGGAUGAUCCUCCACACUGGACCUGAGACACGGUCCAGACUCCUACGGGAGGCAUCAGUGGGGAAUUUUGGACAAUGGGGGCAACCCUGAUCCAGCCAUGCCGCGUGAGUGAAGAAGGCCUUCGGGUUGUAAAGCUCUUUCGGCCGGGAAGAAAUCGCACGGGCUAAUACCCUGUGUGGAUGACGGUACCGGAAUAAGAAGCACCGGCUAACUACGUGCCAGCCGCCGCCGUAAGAC
rnacentral:rRNA from 1 species